CACGUAGGCGGAUUUUUAAGUCAGGGGUGAAAUCCUGAGCUCAACUCCAGAACUGCCUUUGAUACUGGGAAUCUCGAGUCCGGGAGAGGUGAGUGGAACUGCGAGUGUAGAGGUGAAAUUCGUAGAUAUUCGCAAGAACACCAGUGGCGAAGGCGGCUCACUGGCCCGGUACUGACGCUGAGGUGCGAAAGCGUGGGAGCAAACA
rnacentral:rRNA from 1 species